AAUAUUCCACAAGGGGGGGAACCCUGAUGCAGCAACGCCGCGUGAGCGAAGAAGGCCUUCGGGUCGUAAAGCUCUGUCCUAAGGGAAGAAUAAAUGACGGUACCUGAGGAGGAUGCCCCGGCUAACUACGUGCCAACAGCCGCGGUAAUACGUAGGGGGCAAGCGUUAUCCGGAAUCACUGGGCGUAAAGGGUGCGUAGGCGGCCAAUAAAGUAAGGGGUGAAAGGCUAGGGCUCAACCUUAGUAAGCCUUUGAAACUUAUUGGCUUGAGUGCAGGAGAGGUAAGUGGAAUUCCUAGUGUAGCGGUGAAAUGCGUAGAUAUUAGGAGGAACACCAGUGGCGAAGGCGACUUACUGGACUGUAACUGACGCUGAGGCACGAAAGCGUGGGGAGCGAAC
rnacentral:rRNA from 1 species